UUAUAUUAUUGUCAUUAUUACUAAGUCAGUCGGGUGACAACACGAUGACAGAGGGAGUUUUACAAGCGCCCAGUGACUCUGCCGCCCAGGCCAAAGCUUCAGGGAAGAAGAAAAGAGGACCCGUUGUGAGCGAACUGGUGUACAGAGCCGUGGCCGCCUCCCAGGACCGCAAAGGUCUUUUCUAUACCAUAAAGCAGGCGCUGAGCUUCCAGGGCUACGAUGUGAAUCAGCACGGCUUCCUCGUCAAACGCGCCAUUAAUAUGCUGACUGAAGUACUGCAGGUUGACAGAGACUGUAUGUGCUGCUCUGGUCUCUGCUCUAAAGUCCAACCCACCCCAUCUGAGAAAUCUGGACCUGAGCAAAAACGAUGUGCAGGAUUUAGGAGUGAAACACAUUUGUGGUUUUUUUGGAGAGUCCACACUGUAAACUGGAGACUCUGAGCUUGAGUAACUGCAGUUUGUCGGAAAUCAGCUGUGCUGCUUUGGUCUCUGCUCUGAAAUCCAACCCGUCCCAUCUGAAACAUCUGGACUUAAGGGAAAACAACCUGAAGGAUUCAGCCAUGAAAGAGCUGUCUGAUCUUGUGAAGUGUCCACAUUCCAGACUGGAGGAUCUGAAAUGGAAGUGAUGGUAAGCAUGAUGGGGUGUAUGCUAAGAGAGGAUAAGUUAUUUUCUGAUGAUCCCGAGAAGCUGAGAUUCCAGAAGCUUGUGUGUAGAGACAGUCUGCCAGGGCAUGUUACUGUGCGCUCCUUUGCCCAAACAGUUCCACUAUCAAAAACAAUUCACAGUACACUAUCAUCCCUGUGUGUCCUCUGGAUCUGACAGGUCAUCAUUUGUGGAUCUGGACUGCUCUAUCUUUUACAUACUUUUUGCCGACACAUUGGGACACCAAUCCUUCUGCUCCAAUAGAGACACAAAUACUCUGGGUUUUUUAAAAGAAAAGAGUAAUUGAAAACCAAAAUUUACACUGAAAUGCAAAAUUUUAAUCUUUAAAUUAUACCAAUGUUUAUUUCUCCUCUGUAUCAAAUUAAUUAAAUUGAUGCAGAUUAUUUAAACUGCCAUAAAUUCUACGAUACUGACACUUAGAAGUAAUUAUAAGGGGGAAAAUUGUGUUAACCAAAGGCCAAAUUGUGUCUUUACACUUGUAGUGUAAAAUUAAUUUUGUUAAAGUUGUAAGCUUAAAUCUGUUUUAAGCCCUGAAAUCUUCAGAUGGAUGUCUGCUGUAGUCUUAAAGCUAUGACGGCUCAAAAAUGUAAGAAUAAAAACGAAGUACCAAAUUUAGACCCCUCCUUUUGUACUUGGAUUGCCUGUGACUCUGAAAAGAUAAAAUAUCACAUGCCUUCAUUUAAUAUUAUAUUACUCUAGAAACACAUGAGUUGAUUUUGAUAGGAUCAGGUGGGAGCUUUUCUUCCUGUUGCAAACAGGAAGCACCAACAGAACAAAAAAAGGUUAAAUUCCACCUGUAUUAACUCACAGCCUAUUUUCACCAGCAUAGAUCAAAAGAAUAACACUUAUUUAAACUCGGAUAUAACUUGUUCUAUCACAGUUGUGAAACUUUCUAUAAAUACUUGUUGGUAUGUUGAAAACCAACCAAUGUUAUAGUGAAACCUGCAAAGCUAUAUUUAAAAGCCAUGAUAUUAUUUUGGAGAGUUUCUGCCAAGAUGCCUAAACCCAUUCAGCCAAAGAAUCAUAGCAACAAAGCUGAAUCCAUUUUACUGACCGUUCUCAAGUUUAUCAGCUAAUGUUCAAGUCAAGUCAAGUGGCUUUAUUGUCAUUCCAAACAUGUGUGCUGGUACAGUACACAGUGAAACGAGACAACGUUCCUCCAAGACUGUUGUGCUACAUAUGGCAUAUAACAGACAAUCAACAAAGAACUACAUAAAGUGCAAUGUGCAAAAAUGGCAAAAAAACGAAACAAAGACAGUUCAACACCAGACAGAA